GACGGGCCCCGCACAAGCAGCGGAGCGUGUGGUUUAAUUCGAUGUUACACGAAGAACCUUUACCUGGGUUUGACAUGCUAGUGGUAAUGAAGCGAAAGCUAAGUGACCCGCAAGGGAGCUAGCACAGGUGCUGCAUGGCUGUCGUCAGCUCGUGUCGUGAGAUGUUCGGUUAAGUCCGCUAACGAGCGCAACCCUCGCUGUGUGUUACAAGUGUCACACAGGACCGCCGGUCUUAAGCCGGAGGAAGGUGGGGAUGACGUCAAGUCAGCAUGGCCUUUAUGUCCAGGGCUACACACACGCUACAAUGGUCAGCACAAUAGGUAGCCAAGCCGCGAGGUGGAGCCAAUCCUCAAAGCUGGCCUCAGUUCAGAUCGCAGGCUGCAACCCGCCUGCGUGAAGCCGGAGUUGCUAGUAACCGCAGGUCAGCUAUACUGCGGUGAAUACGUUCCCGGGGCUU
rnacentral:rRNA from 1 species